AAUGUAUUCUUUGUCUCGACUGAUCAGUGGAUACUUAGACAGUAAUUUGAAGUAAUUUUCAGCCAAAACUUGGAAGUAGUGAGCAGGAGCAUGGACAGGAAAAAAUAAAGCAGAAUGUAGUGACUGGUGGAAUAUCAUACAAAGUCCAUACAAGAGGCUGUGUAUUGACAGCACUUCAACUCUGAUGUCCCUCUUCAGACAAAACAAAUUCUUUGAUGCUGAAGCGAGAUAAAUUCAAAGUAUAGACUCACCUUUUUAAACAAGCACAUAGGAGAUCCUCACUCCAUCUUCCAGUGGGAUGCCACUCAGUAUGUCACUGCAACAAAGGAAGAAGUCACAAUCACAGAAUUGACAGGGCUGGAAGGGACCUCAAAGAUCAUGGAUCUCCAACCCCCCUGCCCGGAGAUGAAUAAGAUUUGAAAGAAAUGAAUAAUUGUCCCAUUUAAUUGUAGGUAUAAAGAGGCAAAAAAAAAAAACAAAAAUCUGAAGUAUGUUUUAAGCAGAAAUUAUGUGAUGGAUUCAGAAGAGUGACCCAGCAGUUUAACUCCCCAUUCCCUGUACCUGACUCACUGUGAGAAUUUUGGCCUUUUAUGCUGUUCACAGGAUCUUUGAGCAAAAAAUGAAAGUGUCUGUGCAACCAUCAGACAGGGUUGAAUCCCGAAAGAUGUGCUACUAAUAGAGAAAAAGGGCAGGAGGAGUCCAGAAAUAAGCUGCUGAGGAAAUGAGGAACACUACCAUAUUGUGUGACUGGACACAC
rnacentral:lncRNA from 1 species